UACGUAGGGUGCAAGCGUUGUCCGGAAUUAUUGGGCGUAAAGAGCUCGUAGGCGGUUUGUCGCGUCUGCUGUGAAAACCUAGGGCUUAACCCUGGGCCUGCAGUGGGUACGGGCAGACUAGAGUGCGGUAGGGGAGACUGGAAUUCCUGGUGUAGCGGUGAAAUGCGUAGAGAUCCGGAAGAACACCGGUGGCGAAGGCGGUCUGCUGGGCAGUUGCUGACACUGAGGCGCGACAGCGUGGGGAGCAAACAGG
rnacentral:rRNA from 1 species